AACGCGAAGAACCUUACCAGGUCUUGACAUCCCAUUGACCAGCAGAGUAACGUCUGCCUUCCUACGGGACAGGGGAGACAGGUGGUGCAUGGUUGUCGUCAGCUCGUGUCGUGAGAUGUUGGGUUAAGUCCCGCAACGAGCGCAACCCUUAUUCUUAGUAGCCAGCAGGUAGAGCUGGGCACUCUAGGGAGACUGCCAGGGAUAACCUGGAGGAAGGUGGGGAUGACGUCAAAUCAUCAUGCCCCUUAUGAUUUGGGCUACACACGUGCUACAAUGGCGUAAACAAAGAGAAGCAAGACCGCGAGGUGGAGCAAAUCUCAAAAAUAACGUCUCAGUUCGGAUUGCAGGCUGCAACUCGCCUGCAUGAAGCUGGAAUCGCUAGUAAUCGCGAAUCAGAAUGUCGCGGUGAAUACGUUCCCGGGUCUUGUACACACCG
rnacentral:rRNA from 1 species